rnacentral:rRNA from 1 species
UACGAGAGGCCCAAACGUUAUUCGGAUUUACUGGGCUUAAAGAGUUCGUAGGCGGCGCGGCAAGUCGGGUGUGAAAGCCCUCGGCUCAACCGAGGAAUUGCGCCCUAAACUGCCGUGCUAGAGGAACCUAGAGGUGAGCAGAACUGAUGGUGGAGCGGUGAAAUGCGUUGAUAUCAUCAGGAAUACCGGAGGCGAAGGCGGCUCACUGGGGGUUUUCUGACGCUGAGGAACGAAAGCCAGGGGAGCAAACGGG